rnacentral:rRNA from 1 species
UACGAAGGUGGCAAGCGUUGUUCGGAUUCACUGGGCGUACAGGGUGUGUAGGCGGUUUGGUAAGCCUUCUGUUAAAGCUUCGGGCCCAACCCGGAAAGCGCAGAGGGUACUGCCAGGCUAGAGGGCGGGAGAGGAGCGCGGAAUUCCCGGUGUAGCGGUGAAAUGCGUAGAGAUCGGGAGGAAUACCUGUGGCGAAGGCGGCCUACUGGGCCGGACCUGACGCUGAGACGCGAAGGCGUGGGGAGCGAACGGG